rnacentral:rRNA from 2 species
AGAAUAACAUGAUUUCCCUAGUAACGGCGAGUGAAGAGGAAAGAGCUCAAAGUUGGAACCUGUUUGGCCUAGCUAAACCGGAUUGUAGACUGUAGAAGUGUUUUCCAGGCAAGCCGAGUAAAUAAGUCCUUUGGAACAGGGCAUCAUAGAGGGUGAGAAUCCCGUCUUUGGCUUGAGCAUUUGCCUUUUGUGAUACGCUUUCAAAGAGUCAGGUUGUUUGGGAAUGCAGCCUAAAUUGGGUGGUAAAUCUCACCUAAAGCUAAAUAUUGGCGAGAAACCGAUAGCGAACAAGUACCGUGAGGGAAAGAUGAAAAGAACUUUGAAAAGAGAGUUAAACAGUAUGUGAAAUUGUUAAAAGGGAACCGUUUGGAGCCAGACUGGCUUGUCUGUAAUCAAUCUAGGCUUCGGCCUGGAUGCACUUGCAGGCUAUGCCUGCCAACGACAAUUUGACUUGAGGGAAAAAACUAGGGGAAAUGUGGCCCACUUGUGGGUGUUAUAGUCCCUUAGAAAAUACCUUGGGUUGGAUUGAGGAACGCAGCGAAUGCUUAUUGGCGAGUUUUCCAGGAAGGUUUUCUGAGGUACUACGGUAUCAAGGUUGAUCUUUUUGGUUAUACUUCUAUUCGCUUAGGUUGUUGGCUUAAUGACUCUAAAUGACCCGUCUUGAAACACGGACCAAGGAGUCCACCAUUAGUGCGAGUAUUUGGGUGCCAAACCCAUAUGCGUAAGGAAACUGAUUGAUACGAAUCCAUUAAGGAGGCAGUAUCGUCCGGCGCUGACGUUUUAUACUGAAUUGACCGAGACAAAGCACUAAUGAUGGGACCCGAAAGAUGGUGAACUAUGCCUGAAUAGGGUGAAGCCAGAGGAAACUCUGGUGGAGGCUCGUAGCGAUUCUGACGUGCAAAUCGAUCGUCAAAUUUGGGUAUAGGGGCGAAAGACUAAUCGA